UUUGGGAGAAGCGUAGUUGUUCUUGGAACUCUGUAUGCUGUACAGCCACAAGCGGCAUGGAUGCCGAUUGAGUUGCAAACAGCCAUGGAUGGCUGAUUCUGCAACGGUGGCGGGCGUGAAUAGAGUAUAGUGCAGAGUUCGUAGAACAACUUGCUUCGUACAAG
rfam:Firmicutes bacterium CAG:882 genomic scaffold, scf227